GCAUUGCUGAAGAGUCCCACAAUAGAACGAAACGGUCGUCCAGUGC
rfam:Schistosoma mansoni strain Puerto Rico chromosome 1, complete genome